rnacentral:rRNA from 1 species
AGAACGAACGCUGGCGGCAGGCUUAACACAUGCAAGUCGAACGCUCGUAGCAAUACGGGAGUGGCAGACGGGUGAGUAACGCGUGGGAACAUACCCUCCGGUUCGGAAUAGCUCAGGGAAACUUGGAUUAAUACCGGAUACGGCCGAGAGGCGAAAGAUUUAUCGCCGGAGGAUUGGCCCGCGUUCGAUUAGCUAGUUGGUGAGGUAACGGCUCACCAAGGCGAUGAUCGAUAGCUGGUCUGAGAGGAUGAUCAGCCACAUUGGGACUGAGACACGGCCCAAACUCCUACGGGAGGCAGCAGUGGGAAUAUUGGACAAUGGGCGCAAGCCUGAUCCAGCCAUGCCGCGUGAGUGAUGACGGCCUUAGGGUUGUAAAGCUCUUUCGCUCGGGACGAUAAUGACGGUACCGAGAUAAGAAGCCCCGGCUAACUUCGUGCCAGCAGCCGC